GAGUCUCCCUGUAGCUCAAUGGUAGAGCGUCCGACCGGUGUGCGGAAGGUCAUAGGUUCGACACGGAAUAUUUUUCCGAGUAGCUUCA